rnacentral:rRNA from 1 species
GACGAACGCUGGCGGCGUGCUUAACACAUGCAAGUCGAACGGAAAGGCCCUGCUUGCCGGGUACUCGAGUGGCGAACGGGUGAGUAACACGUGGGUGAUCUGCCCUGCACUUCGGGAUAAGCUUGGGAAACUGGGUCUAAUACCGGAUAGGAACCAUCUUUAGUGUGGUGGUUGGAAAGUUUUUUCGGUGUAGGAUGAGCUCGCGGCCUAUCAGCUUGUUGGUGGGGUAAUGGCCUACCAAGGCGGCGACGGGUAGCCGGCCUGAGAGGGUGUACGGCCACAGUGGGACUGAGAUACGGCCCAGACUCCCACGGGAGGCAGCAGGUGGGAAUAUUGCACAAGGGGCGCCAGCCCGAUGCAGCGACGCCGCGGGGGGGAUGAAGGCCUUCGGGUUGUAAACGCCUUUCGCUAGGGACGAAGCUUUUUGUGACGGUACCUAGAUAAGAAGCACCGGCUAACUACGUG